rnacentral:lncRNA from 1 species
CACGCAUGAAAGACGAUCGCAGUGGAUGAAUUCAUGCAUAGGCGUCUCCUAUCCUCGUGUUGGUUUAUUUAUCGCUUUGGAAGUGUCGCAGAAAUCGAGAAUGGGCGGAGCGAGGAGGCAAGACGAUAUAUCUCCCGAGGUACCGGACCAGUUUUGACCGGAGAGAAGAGAGGCAGCUUCAAAGCAGAGUAAAAAUCACUCUAAAAUGGGGAACAAAAGGCAGGAAACGUGACGGUGACAAGGACAGAUGCAUACGCGCAAGCAAGAAUCCAGUUGAGUAUCUCGGAUUAGGCUUUUUGCGCCGUGUUCCCACUUGUUUCCUGCGCCAUCGAUCUGCGCUCCUGACGAAGAACCAUGGGUGCUUCGAAGUUUGCCCCUCUCCAGUCUCUCUGCUCUACAUAUCUUUACAGCGACCGUGACAAGGCACUGUGAAACAGCACUGAGCAACGGGAAGUCGCUGAACUCUCAGGUUCCGUGCCUGCUUUCCAGGCUGCUACAACGGUAAGCGAAGUCAAGAACACUGCCUCCUGCGAGGUAUUCUUUCGAAACAGAUAGGCAUAGAUACAUAUCCAUAGGAAGCACUGAGCAGCUACCUUCUAGCGGAUUUCUGUGGCGCUUUGCAAGCGUGUGCUCUUGUGUGAACGGCCUCUCCUCUUAGCGGAACGCCAUGGAAGUUGAAGAGAACCAGAUCGUGUUUAGGACAGGAAAAACGCUGCGUCAGUGUGCAAGGCAAAAACCAUUACAUGCAGCAGUGAACAGGACGUAGACGAUCCCUCAUUUCUCGCAGCUGAAGCGACCUGUGAACAAGACCGGCGCAGUGGGUUUGCCCUGGCAUUGCCUGACAGCUCUCCCUUAUGCAAAAGAUGGUUCUACAAACCUUUUGCAUGCAUAUGUAUAUUUGUGAAAUCCGUCAUAUCGGGAUUUGCACGCACGCAU